UACGGAGGGUGCGAGCGUUGUCCGGAAUCACUGGGCGUAAAGGGUGCGUAGGUGGCGCCGUAAGUCGGGUGUGAAAUUUCGGAGCUUAACUCCGAAACUGCAUUCGAUACUGCGGUGCUUGAGGACUGGAGAGGAGACUGGAAUUCAUGGUGUAGCAGUGAAAUGCGUAGAGAUCAUGAGGAAGACCAGUGGCGAAGGCGGGUCUCUGGACAGUUCCUGACACUGAGGCACGAAGGCCAGGGGAGCAAACGGG
rnacentral:rRNA from 1 species